rnacentral:lncRNA from 1 species
AGUAAAUUAUAUUUAUAUAGAAGUUAGUUUUAUCUCUGAUUAUAUGAAAAAACAUACAAUAUCAGUGACAUUCAUACUAAAGGGUAUCAAUGACUUGGUUGUAGCCCAAUUAUUUGGAGAUACUUAAGAUGCAAAAAAGCAAAAUGAAAAUCUUUCUGAUAAAACUAACCCAAACAUCAACAUCUGUGCUGUUUGUUAUAGAAGCAUCAGGGAAGACAAAUUAGAAUGUGAAUCCUAAAAGAUAGAAUAAUUGGGGUGGGAAGCAUGUUCAGCAAUGUGCUGUAACAUAUUAAGUAAUCGCUGAUUCCCUUUGUUUUGUGAAAGGAAUUUUUGAAGAGGUACGCAGGAACUGAUAUGCACUGGAUUGGACUAAGCAGGAAACAAGGAGAUUCUUGGAAAUGGACAAAUGGCACCACAUUCAAUGAUUGGUGAGUUGUUCUUAACUUACGGCAAUAUGGUUGUUUGCAUCAGUGCAAUAAGAAUCCAUUUUUCUUUUGCAACAGGACACAAUUGGAGAAAGUGUUUAUUUUACCAACACUUUAACUGGAAGGGUAAGCUUGCCUUUAAGAAGUCAAUCUCGACUUGCAGAGCCAAUAAAAGUCCAGUGGGGAAACUGGCCUCAUACCCUUGCUUACUCAGUCCCUGUACAGGGUUCUUGACCUGUGGUCAGUAAAGAAUGUCACUUUCUAAC